rnacentral:lncRNA from 1 species
AUUUAAUCCCCUGACCUCCCAUCCUUCACAUUUUGCUUUGUUUUGUUUUUGUUUUUCUUAUUUGAAUGCCCAUGCUUGUUUUAAUUGGGAUGGUUGCCAUUUGCUCUGCACAGGGCUGGGGGCUGGCAAUUAAGAUGCAUUGUGCUUUAAUUGUAUUGACUUUGAAAGGCGAGGAGAAGCUUUAUAAACAUCCAUAUUGUUAUAUUACAAAGGAGGAAGAAGAAUGAGUGUUCAUCUGACAGUGCAUCUUAUAGCUGCGGGGAAGAAGGAGGCGGAGGAGGGCUUGCACAAUGAUGGAGCUGACACAUCAGCAUUAAGCUGCUGUUCCCUCAGAGGAAAAGCAAGUUGUCAUGUCCCUGUGCCUGGUCAUGUCAGAAUCCACCCAGCCCACAAAGCUCUUUUGUUUAUGUGAACAUCAUUUCACUCCACAUCACUGGCCCUAGCCACUUUUUUGGUAUAGAAACCCUUGCACAGUGGGUCAUAGAGAUGCCCAGGUUAGGAUCCGUAGACUUCACUUUCUCCUCCUCCUCUCUUCCUUCUCAUCCUCUUAUUCCUCCUCCUCCUUCUCCUCCACUUCUUUCUUAUUUCCACUUCCUUCUCCUUUUCCUACCCCUCCUCCUCUCUCCUUCCGAAACAGUGUCCCACUAUGUCGCUAGGCUUGGAACUGACCCUCCUGCCUCUGCCUUCCCAGCCAGGAUUACAGGCAGCAUAGCAGCCUGCACUCGUCCUUUCAGAAGCCUGUUCUUUUUCCUCUCCUCUUGGGCCAGGAGAAAAGGUCAGCAGUUGCAUCAGAACAGGAGAGAAAGUCUGAAGACUACUUCCAGUUCUGAGGGCUGAGUGUGGUCUUGGUGAAUGAAAGCCGUUUUUGACCCUCUGGGAAUGACUUUACCUCCUGAACUGCAAGAGGGUUUUUCAUACAUAUAAAAAGUCAUGUGCUAAUCCCAGCACUCAGGAGGCAGAGGCAGGUGGACCUCUGUGAGUUCGAGACCAGCCUGGUCUACAAGAGCUAGUUCCAGGACAGCCUCCAAAGCCACAGAGAAACCCUGCCUCGAAACGCCACCCCCCCCCAAAAAAAUCAUAAAGCCCUGUGCUGCCACUCUCUAGGCUCAGUCUCAUCACCUGUCAAAUGUGGGGCUUCUCUUAGACUGUCAUCUCAGGACAUUGGAACUCAGGAGCUCUUUGAGGGUGGGAAUAGGAUUACCCAACUGGAAGCUGGGUGGAUGUAGCAUGACAUCCUAGUUUCCUCUUUUAGUGCAAAGAAACCCCAUCAGCUUUAUAUCUUGGGGGGUUGUAUGAAAGUUUUCUGUGAGAGA